GCAAGUCGAGGGGCAGCAUAGUUCGCUUGCGAACUGAUGGCGACCGGCGCACGGGUGCGUAACGCGUAUGCAACUUACCCUAAACUGGGGGAUAGCCAGUGGAAACACUGAUUAAUACCCCAUAGUACUACUAGAUGGCAUCUGAAGGUAGUUAAAGAAUUUCGGUUUAGGAUGGGCAUGCGUAGGAUUAGCUAGUUGGUGAGGUAAUGGCUCACCAAGGCGACGAUCCUUAGGGGUUCUGAGAGGAAGAUC
rnacentral:rRNA from 1 species